rnacentral:rRNA from 1 species
GACGAACGCUGGCGGCGUGCCUAAUACAUGCAAGUCGAACGCAGUGGGGACGGGUGAGUAACACGUGGGUAACCUCCCAUCAGAGGGGAUAACACUUAGAAAAAGGUGCUAAACCGAUACGGAUGUAGGGACCUGGGGUGCAUUAGCUAGUGGGUGGGGUAACGGCUCACCAAGGCCACGAUGCAUAGCCGGCCUGAGAGGGUGAUCGGCCACACUGGAACUGAGACACGGCCCAGACUCCUACGGGAGGCAGCAGUAGGGAAUCUUGGGCAAUGGACGAAAGUCUGACGGAGCAACGCCGCGUGAGUGAAGAAGGUUUUCGGGUCGUAAAACUCUGUUGUUAGGGAGGCGGUAUCUAACCAGAAAGCCACGGCUAACUACGUGCCAGCAGCCGCGGUAAUUC